rnacentral:tRNA from 1 species
AAAAAUUUAGUUAAUCAAUAACAUUAAUUUGUCAAAUUAAAGUAACUUAAAAUAGUAAUUUUUA